rnacentral:rRNA from 1 species
UUUCACCGGAGCUUGCUCCACCGAAAGAAAAGGAGUGGCGAACGGGUGAGUAACACGUGGGUAACCUGCCCAUCAGAAGGGGAUAACACUUGGAAACAGGUGCUAAUACCGUAUAACAAUCGAAACCGCAUGGUUUCGGUUUGAAAGGCGCUUUUGCGUCACUGAUGGAUGGACCCGCGGUGCAUUAGCUAGUUGGUGAGGUAACGGCUCACCAAGGCAACGAUGCAUAGCCGACCUGAGAGGGUGAUCGGCCACAUUGGGACUGAGACACGGCCCAAACUCCUACGGGAGGCAGCAGUAGGGAAUCUUCGGCAAUGGACGGAAGUCUGACCGAGCAACGCCGCGUGAGUGAAGAAGGUUUUCGGAUCGUAAAACUCUGUUGUUAGAGAAGAACAAGGAUGAGAGUAGAAUGUUCAUCCCUUGACGGUAUCUAACCAGAAAGCCACGGCUAACUACGUGCCAGCAGCCGCGGUAAUACGUAGGUGGCAAGCGUUGUCCGGAUUUAUUGGGCGUAAAGCGAGCGCAGGCGGUUUCUUAAGUCUGAUGUGAAAGCCCCCGGCUCAACCGGGGAGGGUCAUUGGAAACUGGGAAACUUGAGUGCAGAAGAGGAGAGUGGAAUUCCAUGUGUAGCGGUGAAUGCGUAGAUAUAUGGAGGAACACCAGUGGCGAAGGCGGCUCUCUGGUCUGUAACUGACGCUGAGG